rnacentral:lncRNA from 1 species
CUGAGUUUUCAGAACCCCUGGUCAGGCACCCUUACUGUCCUAUCCUCUAGGGACUCCGACUGGCCAUAGGUGCAGGUGUGUGCUGUUCCUUCAUCUAUAGGUGUCUUCUUUGUCUCCCUUACCAGGCCCAGCAGCCUUGUCCGUGUUGUGCUGUACUGUGCUAACUCUGCUCAGACAUCUGGCAGCAGGUUGGUCCCAUCCUGCUAUUCUGAGCCCUCUCCUGGUUGUAAUACUGCAGGCCCCACAGCCAGCUGGGAUGGUUGGACACCCUCCCUGCCAGGCAGAUACAGUGAGGACAGCUCCUAGGAAGGAGGUCUGCUGUGGGGAAAAAGAUUCCUAUAACUCCCUUGGGAGUGGCGUGAGGGGGGUGAGUCAUACUGUAGGCUCACGAGUUUCAGAGGCAUUUGGGGAGUCUGACAUUUGGGAUCU